ensembl:snoRNA
CUGGCCCUGAUCUAAAGCAGCAGCUUGCAGUAGCUGUUCGUUUUUAAAGGAGCCUAAAUGAACUCCUUCCUGUGGUCUGUUGAUUUGUUGCCCCAAACUGUAAAAGGGACGAAUCAUUUCAGUUGGAAGGAACAACA